CGGGUGAUAACACGUGGGUAACCUGCCUGUAAGACCGGGAUAACUCCGGGAAACCGGGGCUAAUACCGGAUGGUUGUUUGAACCGCAUGGUUCAAACAUAAAAGGUGGCUUCGGCUACCACUUACAGAUGGACCCGCGGCGCAUAAGCUAGUUGGUGAGGUAACGGCUCACCAAGGCAACGAUGCGUAGCACGACCUGAGAGGGUGAUCGGCCACACUGGGACUGACCACCCGGCCCAAACUCCUACGGGAGGCAGCAGUAGGGAAUCUUCCGCAAAUGGAACCGAUACACAGCUCUUGAACAGUGAAAGCAAAACUCGGCCCAGUCAGCGAUAGAAUGUUUUGAAAAUUGAAAAAUGUGGUUUUUAUCACAGGGUAACUCCGUCAUAUNAUAUAUCGUCAUUCAAUGUUCUGGAUUUAAUGAUGGGGGUAAAAAGUAAAUCAUAUAAUCUUAUUAAUCCCCGGUUAUNCCAUAAAACUCUUUUCUGUGGUUACGGUNNGUUUCCCCUUAUGUAUCCCGUGGUCUCUACACAUUU
rnacentral:rRNA from 1 species